CCUACGGGUGGCAGCAGUAGGGAAUCUUCCACAAUGGGCGCAAGCCUGAUGGAGCAACACCGCGUGAGUGAAGAAGGGUUUCGGCUCGUAAAGCUCUGUUGUUGGAGAAGAACGUGCGUGAGAGUAACUGUUCACGCAGUGACGGUAUCCAACCAGAAAGUCACGGCUAACUACGUGCCAGCAGCCGCGGUAAUACGUAGGUGGCAAGCGUUAUCCGGAUUUAUUGGGCGUAAAGCGAGCGCAGGCGGUUGCUUAGGUCUGAUGUGAAAGCCUUCGGCUUAACCGAAGAAGUGCAUCGGAAACCGGGCGACUUGAGUGCAGAAGAGGACAGUGGAACUCCAUGUGUAGCGGUGGAAUGCAUAGAUAUCACGCAGAACUCCGAUUGCGAAGGCAGCAUACCGGCGCGCAACUGACGCUCAUGCACGAAAGCGUGGGUAUCGAACAGGAUUAGAUACCCUUGUAGUC
rnacentral:rRNA from 1 species